GCGGGAAUAGCUCAGUUGGUAGAGCAUAACCUUGCCAAGGUUGGGGUCGCGAGUUCGAG
rnacentral:tRNA from 1 species